CCUACGGGUGGCAGCAGUGGGGAAUAUUGGACAAUGGGGGCAACCCUGAUCCAGCCAUGCCGCGUGUGUGAAGAAGGCCCUCGGGUUGUAAAGCACUUUCAGUGAGGAAGAACGCCUGGUGGUUAAUACCCAUCAGGAAAGACAUCACUCACAGAAGAAGCACCGGCUAACUCCGUGCCAGCAGCCGCGGUAAUACGGAGGGUGCGAGCGUUAAUCGGAAUUACUGGGCGUAAAGCGCGCGUAGGUGGCUUGAUAAGCCGGUUGUGAAAGCCCCGGGCUCAACCUGGGAACGGCAUCCGGGACUGUCAAGCUAGAGUGCAGGAGAGGAAGGUAGAAUUCCCGGUGUAGCGGUGAAAUGCGUAGAGAUCGGGAGGAAUACCAGUGGCGAAGGCGGCCUUCUGGACUGACACUGACACUGAGGUGCGAAAGCGUGGGUAGCAAACAGGAUUAGAUACCCGAGUAGUC
rnacentral:rRNA from 1 species